GAUGAACGCUGGCGGCGUGCCUAACACAUGCAAGUCGAACGAAGCUACAUUUUACGAUCCCUUCGGGGUGACGAAUUGUAGACUGAGUGGCGGACGGGUGAGUAACGCGUGGGCAACCUGCCCUAUACCGGGGGAUAGCAGCUGGAAACGGCUGAUAAUACCGCAUAAGCGCACAGAGAGACAUCUCUUAGUGUGAAAAACUCCGGUGGUAUAGGAGGGACCCGCGUCUGAUUAGCCAGUUGGUGAGGUAAAGGCCCACCAAAGCGAAGAUCAGUAGCCGACCUGUGAGGGUGACCGGCCACAUUGGGACUGAGACACGGCCCAAACUCCUACGGGAGGCAGCAGUGGGGAAUAUUGCACAAUGGGCGAAAGCCUGAUGCAGCGACGCCGCGUGAGUGAUGAAGUAUUUCGGUAUGUAAAGCUCUAUCAGCAGGGAAGAAAAUGACGGUACCUGACUAAGAAGCUCCGGCUAAAUACGUGCCAGCAGCCGCGGUAA
rnacentral:rRNA from 1 species